GGCCGUCCUACAACUUUUACUGGCUGACAACUUAAAAAUACAUCGCGCACACAAUAACGCCAAAAUUCGAUUACACGAACGAGAUAACAAAAGGGACACGGGGAAAAAAACGGCUCUCGCGAGUAUGUCGUAGUAGAUAUAGGUAUAUUAGUACGAAAUUUGCGGCCAAAAAAAAAAACAUCACCGCCUCUGCCGUCGAGCGUGUAUAAUAUUAUGCACUAUGUCAUGACCUCAUAACGUAUAUCCAUCUCUACGACAAUCAUACGAGUAUAAUAUAAUUGAAUAUUAUUAUUGUCAUAAGUACCGCGGCAAUUAUAGUGGUUAUCGUAUGAAAAUGUUAAAAUAUAGAUGCGAUAAUAGGUGCAGAUUGCAGGGGUGCAAAAAUUCUAGAGCUAACACCACGAAUCCCAUAAUAGUACAAGCGCUAUAACGUCUAUACGCACAAACACACACACACACGGUUGGGUAUAUACACUACGUUGACCUCGGGCAAAACCAAAUGGAGUGUGGUGACUAUAGCGGGACUUCUUCGGUGGAACCUAUCUAUACUAUACCGUAAUGAAACGAGAGACGACGACGACUACAACGUUCCGGGCGCCCACGCAUUUGACCUUCACGUCUUGACAAGACUAAGGAUAUUUCACAUCUACAAGGUCAACACUAGCCGUAAAUUAUUGUGAGAACACAAACCUUUUGUACUAACGACGAAAUGCCGAAAAAUAUCUAUUAAUACGAAUAAUAUAUUAUUAUAAUAUUAUUAUAUGUUAUAUGAAUAAUAUAGAUUUAUUACACUACCGUUUAGUACCGUCACUACCUACAUGAAUCAUAUUAUAUUAUGUGACUAAUUAUAAAACAAUAAAUGGAAAUUUUAAUAAAACACCACUAUUUACUAAAUGAGACU